rnacentral:miRNA from 1 species
UGGAUCGGAGCCGGGGUCCGGA